UCUCCUUAUCGAGCGCAUUCUUUCUCAUCUUAAUGUCAUUGGAUGAUCUUCGAAUUCGAUUACCAUCUAAGGAGGCAAGAAUGAGAAUGGGUUAAUUGGAGAUGGGGGUUUGAGAGUUCUUGGAUGAUGAUAUGAGUUGGGUUGAGAUAGAUUGGCAACCAGAUGAAGAAUUCGAUCGAGAAAAAAUAUUCCAGGUCCAAAUAUUUCUCUAUUUUUUUCCCUAUCAAUUUCAAUUGAAUUUCGAUUUCAGAAUUACUUAUACAAUGGGUAGUUGCAAAGCUGUUGUUGGUAUUGCUACCAGAGAAGCUACAACAAUGGGGCAAUGGAUUCUGGUGUGUAUACUCUGAGACUUGCAGGGACUGAAUUUGGGAUUGCAACUGUUGGUGAUGGCUGAGCAGAUACAUGUACCUAAAGGUCAUGAUUUGUGCAUCAGGGUAGUUGAACAAUGGCGCUUGACAAGAAGGCAACGAUAUAUGUUAGCAAUCACUACAUAACAGAAUAUCCUUUCAUGCUGAAUGUAGAAGGUCUAGAAGAAGCCCAAUUUGAUGUGGAAUUAAUUCACUAAUAUUCUUUAUUCAGAUUUUUUAAAGGGGAAUAAUGGAUACAAGAACCUUCUUAAGAGUGCAUUGACAGGUGGUUGUAGUUGCUGAGAUCAGUCUGAAAAUAAAGGAAAAGGGCGUGAGUGUCUAUUCACGUGGCUUAGAAGGUAAAAUUUCAGUUAUAAUGUGUUUUCUCCCCUUUUGAAUCUCCUGGAAGGGCUGUUAAAAAUACUGGAUAAUUUCCGCAUUGCGCCAAAACUAACUUGGAGAGGUCUUUCAUGUUUUUACUUCAUAAGUAGUGCAGGCUCUUUAUAUAACCGUAUACUCAAAAUAUUUGGAGUUAUCUGCAGCAAUACCUAAUUGAAGGAUUUGCCAAAAAAAUAUGUGUGUAAUGACAAAUGUGAUCUUGGCAUUUUAAGCAUCGUUUUACAGUUGAUAGACUGACAUAGUUAGCUUUUCCAUUUAUAUUUGUUUUGGUGUCCACCCUACCAAAUUAAAGCUACUUUCGCACCCUAACACAUUCUGUAUGGUGGUACUCAUAACCAACACCUGUUCUUAUGUAUGCCCAAAUGAUAGAAGAAGCAGAUCAGGUGAAGCUAUCAGAUUUUUUGGUGAGAAUGAAUUCAACCAGAUGCACAUGCGGGACUCUUAUAUGUGGCUUCUGUAAAACUUGCUGCAGUAGGGGAAGGUACCUGCAUCAACUUUUUAGAAGAUAUAGAAAUAUCCACGGGGCUAGAGAGGCUGCUCUACAUUGGGUUUGGAGAUAAACUAAUGUGCUUAUCAAGUGACAUUUUCAGCUAAUUCUUUAGCCUAUUUGUGGUGUAAAGUCGUCUACAUUUUGAACCUGUGUUUCCCCUUUUAAAAUUCAUACAGAUGGUAAUAUAUGGACCAUGUCCACAAACCACGAGCAAACACAGAACAUGAAACAAAUUUAGGAAGCCUCUUUACAUAGAUUAGCAUUGUUCCUACAGAAUAGAUUUAGGUCAUUGCGCAGUGUGUUGGGAUUAACAGCCUUUCUCCCAGUGUCGCACUUGCUCUUCUCCUCAUGUGGAGUAUAUUACCUGUUUUCUGGUGUAGGAUAUCCCCAGAACGAGCAAAGCGAGAACUGCCAUCAAGGUAGUAGAGUAUAACCCAAUUCAUAUCCAACACAACCUUUUCUUUAUUUCCUAGGCAGCUUCUAUGAAAUUGGGUAUUGCGGAGUUUCUUCAUUUCUUUCCCAUUUCUCAUUGUUAUUUAUUACAGAUUAGUUUUCUACUCAAUCAUGAGUUUUUAGACGAUCAGUUGCAUUCAAUUCAGAAUGAAAAACCAUCAGCUACUACUACUUCUAGAUAACGAAAUGGAUGAUGGAGGGAGCUUAUUAAAAUCUGCCAUUUCUGAUCAAUAUCCGGAACAGCAACAACUUCAGUCAAUCAGAUAUGAACUCAAGUUGCGCCAAUCAGUUUGGUAUACAAGAGGUACUCAUAAAUAAGACCUACAGAACUCAAGAGUAAAGAUCCAGUGUUACAAAGUCAUCACGAAUAGUCUGGAGACAAUAUCUAAUCGGAGUAUUCAUUGGUAAUGUCGGGAAAUAACUACGACUGGUCUGAAUCCUCAUUGUUAAAAGAAGUUAAGUACUGAUAGAAUCUGAGGUAAAAGUUGAUCCUAAUUCGGUACGAUGGCAAUGACUUCCAGUACAAUAUGGCUGCUUGCAGCAAUCAAGAGAGCUGAUGCAGCUGUGAUUAAUUACAAUCUUUAAAAGACAAUCUCUGUCUGCUAAUUACACGAUUACCUAAACAUAUAUGGUGAAGAUAUAUGUAAAGUAGAUUGUAAACCAAAACCCGAUGAGACAACAUAGACGUGUUAAAGUAAAGAAGAAGAAAAAUUCUGAACUUGCUAGAGAAUGGUGGAGGGAAGCGAAUUCUACUGGUGGUGGUUAGGAGGAUGAGAUAAUUGGUGCAGAGAUGAAGGUAUGAAUGUUGAUAUUAAAAAUAAGAAGAAAAGGGGUUGGAGUAGAAAGUAGUACAGGGGGAUGGAAGUAUUAGUCGAGAUUGGGCAAGUGGAUUAAUCCAUAAAAGUGGCUUGAGGUAUUAAAUGCACAGUGUGUUACAUCGUUUCUGAAUAUGGUGGUGGGGUGGACUUUUAUAGAAAUGUGGUGUCAUAGACCCAGCUAUAUGGCCUGUUCACCUAUUUCGACAACAUUUUUUCUGUUAAUUUCUAAGUUUUUAUUUUAAGAGCCUGUAAGGACUAUAAGACCUUAUGGCCUGCACUUUUGUCACUUUCGAACUAUGUUAUGG